rnacentral:rRNA from 1 species
AUGGUCUACAACAUGACUCAGAGAGAGCUUGCAAUAAGAGCUCCUCAGAGGGUUCAUGGGCCACUGCCUGAGCAAUCUGCAUUUGUUGCUGCUGCUGGUGCUGCAAUACCUCAGCCAAGGAUCACUACAGAAAUGAACAUAGGUAGACAGACAAGGGCAACCACAAUAGCUGACAGAGGAGAAGGAUCUGGUAGGGGAAGAGGAAGAAAAAGACAAAGAAAUCCAGAAGCAGGCAGAGGGUCAAAUUCAGUUGCAGGUAGAGGAAGAGGGUCAAAUUCAGUUGCAGGUAGAGGAAGAGGAGCAAAUGCAAAUGCAGGUAGAGGAAGAGGAGCAAAUGCAAAUGCAGGUAGAGGAAGAGCAGCAAAUGCAAAUGCAGGGAGAGGAGAAGUUCCAUCUGAAGGGAUAGGAGAAGCAGCAAUUGCAAAUCCAGAUGCCUGGACAGGAUCACUGCCAUUUGCAGGGAGAGGAGGAUCACUGCCAUUUGCAGGGAGAGCAGGAUCACUGGCAUUUGUAGGGAGAGGAGGAUCACUGGCAUUUGCAGAGAGAGGAGGAGCAAACAAUGGCUUAUAA